AGUCACGCCGCUUCAAAAAUGUUCCACAGGGUUACUUUCGGUUUAUCGUUGUUUACCAACAGUCGGCACUUCGUGUAUUAGGCCUUGUAGGGUACAGAUAGCCUUAAUUUUGUCGAUCAUCAUGAAAUUGAAAUACGCAUGUAAUAGUUUGGGAUGUAUGCGGUACAUAUUUGUUGAUGAGCGUUUGAUAAGCUACUAUUGAUCUACGAAAUACAACGAAAGACUUCGUCAAGAACAGAAGAAGACGAUGUUGUCGUGUAACUCACACACGGCCCAACUGUCUAGUAACCGGAGGGGGAAAGGAAAAGAACGUAUUAGACUCAGUGAAACCUGUCAAACAGAUUGAUGUCAGAACUCUGAAUGCAAGCAAGCUCCCAUAUGACUACAAUGUAUAAGGGAAAUUAGAUAUAUGUACAAUAAAUAUGGUAUAUGGGAACUGGAUAAUUUUCAAUGCCUUUCACUUGAGGUCUUCAGUUUCAUCAUUAAUCAUGUGAAUGUCUGUAUGCCAAACUCUCAUGAUGUCAUGCCAUUACUGGACAUUCCUUACGCAGUUGUGUUAAGUAGGGCCAUAGAAAUAUGUCAGGAAAAAAGCAUUAAUAAACAGAUCAAUUUGUGACAAAUUCUGUAAACACAACCCUUUUAUACAAAAACAAUAUGUAUAUAUAAUUAAGUGCAUAUUGACCUCUUAUACAUUUUUCACCAGACCGACAGUCUCUACAUCAACUCUGUAUCACGUGAUCAAAUAUCAAGAUAAAAACGUAUCGUGUAUGUAUAAAUCGUUGAAUUGGCACGAUAUCCAGAUAUCAAUGCAAGUUGAAGUUAAUAUAGCUUCAAAGCAUAUUAAUUUCUUGAUUUGAAAAGUGCUGAGAGCAAGUUUAUUGUGACUUGUAACAUGUCUAAUUUUUGCAGUGAAUAUGCAAGAUGCAGCGAUUUUUGCUCAUACGAAGUUGAAUCUAGCCUGAAAAACAUAUUUUCUGUUGAAGCCAGAACUUGCUCCCCUAAGUUUCCUUUGGCACUGAAGUUCACAUGUCACAUAAAUCAAACAUCUUUCACUUAAAAACCUCGGGGUGUCGUGCCAAUGAUGAAAUUUUUAUGUACGGAAACCCUGUUUAUGCAAAUGAGUCCAUUGUGAAAGUAACUAUACGUGUAGAUUAGGGGCGAUAUCAAGAUCACAAUAUAAUAUGGAUAUUACUUUAGCAUGUAUGCUAUAUAAAGAAGAAAUUGAAACAUUUUCAAUAUCAAAGAUAAUAAAUAUAACCCAUUUGACAGAAACUUUUACGCGAUUGCACUUUACCGUUUGACAGCGGUGGUAAAUAACGAAACAAUAUUUUGACAUUUCCAACCACAAAAGGACUGUAGAUAUGUACGUCAUGACCUUCGUCAUGACGUAUUUUUCAUUGUGACGUCGUGCAAUGUGCCAGUGCGGUAAAGUAUAUUUAUGAUAAUCACUGAUAUUAAAAUUUUAUGGGGAAAAGCCUUAACUCAACCGCGUAACACUGGUUUAUUUCAACCAUACUACUUGUAACAUUGCAAACAUAUUAGACUGAAAAUUUUCCCAUACACAAGAUUUGAAGGAGCAAAAGAAAAUAAUUAGAUAUGUAUAACACAAAAAAGAAGAAAUUAAUUCUCACCUGGCUGAAAUUAACUUUUUACUCCUUUUUAGCUCCCUUUCACUGCAUACCAGCCAAUAACUAACAGUCAUUAUAUGCAGAUCAGCCAAUGUUAUCAACCUGUGUAUAUAUAUGCUGAAUAAAAUAUGAAUGAAAA